GUACCUCCAAAUGGCUGGGUCAGGCAGAGGAAGAGGACGUGCUUCAUUUACCUUCAACAUUGAGGCUAUUGGAUUUGGUAAAGGUGCAGCUCUACCUGAUGUCAUCUGUAAACCACCACCACCAUUUCCAGAGAAGAUGAAGAUUAUAUGUUGGCCUUAAAACAAGACCUUAGAGAAACUAUGAAAAGAAUGCCAUACUUUUUGACAGUAGAAGAAGAACAUCAAGGUUUGUGAUCUUUUUAUCUAUAUCUUUAGUCACUAUUCUGGAAAGGUUGAUAUAGUGAAAUGCAUGUGUUGAAGAUGUGUUUCAUACUGAUAAAAAAUAGCAACUUAAAAUAAUAGUGAAUUUUUCUGCUUUUACACUUAUUGAAAUCAUGGGUGACACCUACAAGUACUAUAACUGGAAAGCAACUACUGUUGAGAAAAAAAGGUAUCAAACAUCUACUUCAUUUGGUAUACAGUAAGAAACAUUUAGACCAACUACAUACAGUCUUUUCAAUUAUAUGCUAGCCAAUACAAGUGAAAUAGGCAUUUCUACAUGUUAAAAUACCAUAACAUUUGGCAUUAGAGCAAAGAAAUCCAUAGUAAAUACUAGUGUUGAAAUUCAGCUUUCAUUGUGUAAAGACAUACUCAAAAUAAUCAAUAUUAUAUUUAAUGAGUGAACAUUUUAAAAGGUACUCAGCUUUUUUCGCCCUAAGUCCAUUCAGAAAAUACUGACAAGUCACUGGAAAUAAUGAAGACUGAGGUGAGGUUAAGUGAUUUACUGAGAUUUAUACCAGAAGCAGAGCUGGAUUAGAAGCCAGAUCUUGAUCUUAUUCUGCCUGAUCUCAGAAUUUCUUUUGCUUGCAUGUAUUUAAAUAUUAACUGCUAUAUUAUCAUUUGAUAACAAUAAAUUCUCUUCUAUACUUGACAUCCAGUCAUACAUCAUUGUAUUGUUAAAUUCAAACUUCCCAGUCGGAAAACUGAGCUAGUGGGAAAGAAGGAAACUGGAGCAGGAAAACUUAAAUGUCUGUUUACCAUACUGUGAGGGUAUUGUAAAUCCAGUCACAAGAGGUUAUUACUGUGAGAAGUUCUUCUUUUCAUUCAUGAUUUUUUGCCUGGUUUUAUCAGGCCCCUGAGUGCUUAUUCUGAAUUAUAUAAAUGGCAAGUGCUGUUACAGCUCUAUAAAAGUGUUUAAGAAAUUCAAAGUGUUUAGGCACUGGAUAAUCUUUUCCUUCCUAUCUUGUGCUAAUUUUGAAUAAUGAGAGCUGACUUAAACUCUGAAAUGUAAGGUUUAAUCUCCGCCCCAAAACCAUCAGAAUGUUUUCUCACUGAGUAUUCAUGAUGUUGAUAACAUAGAGGUGCAUAGUGUAAUCCCUUCUGAAUUUUUGCUAAUUUCUGUUCAUGGUGUAGUGGUGAAUUCUAGAUGGUUUUGAGAUGGUGCAAUUUUUUUAUUAGGCUUUGACUGUAACACUGAAUAACACACCUUAUUCAUUGUCCCUUUGUUCUGUACUAAAGCCCAGUAUAAAAUGGAGCAGUGUCCUGCAGUGUGAGCAGUGAAUACACUGACAGACUGACGCUGUGGUUCACAAAAGGCAGAGUAUCUCCCCUGAUGUGCACCUGGAACCCAACGGCCACUGGGAUGCAGCUCUAGUGCAGCACAAGCACAGACCAGGCUGGACCCUGACGGUGCAGCCAGGUAAAACUGAUUAUAAGGAAAGAACAGAUCUGAUCCUUAUUUCUAGAUCCUUUUCUGAUAAGAACUCCAAAUUACUCUUUUAUUACAUCUUCUCUUUCAUCUUUUGAGUAAAUGUAUUUCAAUCAGUUUGGAUUCUCACCUCGCUGGAGGCUUGCUGUGCUCUUGAUCUUUGUCAGGAUUGGAAUUUGCUAUUUCCAUUAGAGACACAAAAUAGGAAACUGCUAUGCCUGAGAGCCAGUCAGGAUUAUUUCCAAGGAACCUGCUGCUUUAUGAGAAAAUGUUAUCUCUCUUUUCCAGCUUUGCCUCAUAUGAUUGUUCUUACUGAUCAUUUUGAAAUCAUCUUUGUUUCUGCAACCUUCUUUCUGAGUGAAGAGAUCUCUCUCUGUUGCUCUGUUCCUUAGUAGAACUGCCAGCUUUGCAUACUGGUUUUUAAUACCAAAAUGGGAAGUUGCAGGGAAAGUAGGGAGACCACUUGAUAAACUGAAAUAAUGCUUUGAACGCUAUCAUGAUCUCCCCAAGGGUAAGUUGGUAAGUUGAGGUAACUUUUUGUUAAAUCUUUAGUUGUACAAAAAUUCUGCGUCUGAGGGGUGUGGUAUAAUUACAUCAGUGGUGGUCAGCAGUUUAAAAAGCUUGUUUUCAUCUCAGUCAUAGUGUGCAGUUGUCUCUGGGACUGUAUUAUGUGGCAGAAGUGGCCUAGUUUUAAGAUAAUUGCAUUUAUCCCCCAGAAUAGACUGUUUUAAACUGAUCUUUUCUGUCUGGUUUACAACUGUUUGCUCCACUUUAUUUCAUCAAAACAUCUGAUAGAACUAAGAGGAGGCAGGAGGGGGGACUGUAGGCAAGAACUUCAUAAAUUGGCUUUGCUACAAGAGUGACUGGAUUAUUUUAAACCCUAAGCACAACAUCUCUGAGCCAAAUGGUCCUUGAAAGUGCGAGAAACAAGGCAUCUUAAUUAGUUGGGAUAUAGCUAUCUAUCUUAUUAUUCAGGUAGUAAACAAAAGCUGCAUAUAAUGCUACCUGGCAAAUUCGAUGUGUUAGUGUCCCAUGUAGAAUAGAUUUCCAUCAUUCAUUUCAGUACUCAUGUUGAGUGAAUAGCAGGCAUAUUCUUUAGUAAUUUAUUUAUUUUCCUCGUUAAAUUAGCUAUUAAUCAUUCAUAUUUUUCCUCUAGGUAUAUCUGCUAUGACUGGGUGACUGCCACCUUGGCAGCAGCUUCGAAUGAAUUCAUUAGUUGUGAGAGGUGUGAGUCAGUCAACGAUUUUUUGUACUGAUGGCAGUAUUUCGUCACUAAAGAGCCUUGAGCUGAAAUCAAAACUACUGGCUUCUUUUCCUCUCUUUGCUGACAGUUUCCUCUAGCAUCUGUGAAUGCCCCUUGAGACACUGUUAUUUUAAACUCAGGCUCUUCCUUGAACAGUUCUAAGAAGGUUUUCUGCUUGCCCUCAUCAUAACUAAGUUUAAAAUUGAACUUCAUUUAUGACAUCUUCUUUCUUCCUGGUGAGCACACAUCUGAAGGACAGGAUGCCAUUCUGAGGGACCUAGACAGGCCCAUGGUAAUCUCAUGAAGUUUAACAGAACAAGUGCAAGGUGCUGCACCUGGGUUGGGGCACUCCCAAUAUCAGCACAGGCUGGGGAUGAACGGAUCAAGAGCAGCCCUGCCAGGAUGGAUUUGGGGGUGCUGUUUUGUGAGGUGCUGGAGAUGAGCCAUAAGUGCGCACUCACAGCUCAGAAAGCCAAACAUGUCCUGGGCUGCAUCCAAAGCAGUGUGGGCAGUGGUUUGAGGGAGGGGAUUCUGUCCCUCUGCUUUGCUCUGGUGAGACCCCACCUGCAGGGCCACAUCCAGCUCUGGGGGCCCAGCACAGGAAGGACAUGGAUCUGUUGGAGCAAGUCCAUAGGAAGCCACCAAGAUGAUCAGAGGGAUGGAGCAGUUCUCCUACGAGGAAACCCUGAGAGAAUUAGGAUUGUUCGGCCUGGAAAAGAGAAGGCUUCAGGGUGACCUUAUUGUGGCUUUCCGGUAAAUGAAGGGAACGUAGAGGAAAGGUGGGGCAAGACUGUUUACGAGAGCACGUAGUGACAGGACAAGGGGAAAUGUGUUUAAAUUGAAGCAGAGUAAGUUUAGUUUAGAUAUUAGAAAAAGAUUUUUUUCCUGUGAGGGUGGUGAGGCACUGAAAGAGGUUGCCCAGGGAAGUUCAUCCCUGGAAGUGUUCAAGGCCAGGUUGGAUGGGGCUCUGGUAUAGUUGAAGGUACCGCUGCCCAUGGCACUAGGUGAUCUUCAAGGUCCUCUUCCAACCCAAACCAUUCAAUGAUUCUAUGUUAGAAGUGUUUGACUCUAAAGAUCAAAGGCUGUCUCAGUUACUAUUUUUUGUACAGUACCCACAGAAAUUAUCCCUGUUUGAAUAAUGAGUUAUUAGUGCAAUCAGAUUCGCUAAUUUUGCAUGAAGUGGAUUUUGCAGUUGUGAAUUCAGUAAGAAAAAAGGGAACUGAUUUAAAAAUACUAAAGUUCUGAUAAUGCUUUUGUCAUUACAGAUUUCACAUAAAGGGUUUUUUCAAUAUAAAUAGCUGUGUUUACAUUGUAUGACUACUGCAUUAUUUAUGAUGCAUUUCUCAGUUUAGUUCUUGUAGCUGAAAAGAGGUUAAAUGGAUUAAAGUGUGUUGCUGCUGUUUAGGAUGGGAUGCAAAGCUUUUCCAUUGCAGAAGUACUGAAAGUCUUGGAAGGUGAUGAUCAGACUGAGACACAGCCUUUUGAUACCUGGGAAUUAUGGAUGGUUAACAUAGGGAUGUUACAUUUCACUGACUGGUUUUGUAGCAAAGGUCUGAUUGUGAAAAUCUUGAAGAGUAUAACAGUUAGUGUUACAUUUGAUGUUUCAACCUAGUUGCCCUGAUUAAAUCUGCAUUUCAUAAUUUCAUGCUUUUCAAGGAUAAAAGCAUAAAUUAUAAUAAUUUUGGAGUGCUUUUUUUUUUUUUUAAGUUCUUGACAACAAUAAAAUGUGAGAAUAAAAAAAUAUACUAUAUGUUUAGUUACAGGAAAAUAUCAAGGACUAUGUCUGGAUUGCCUGUUAAUUAACUGAAGUCAAUAACUCUUUGUAUCCUUCUCUAUAGCAAUUGAGAGGUACAGUCAAAAGUACCAGGACAGUGAAAAGGAGCAGAAUACAUGGACUCCAGGUAGCAUCUGAGGCUAAUUUUCUGUUAACCUGUGAAACGUUUGCUCUUUUAAGUGUUUGAUUCAUUAUUUUUCAAGCAAUAAAAAAGUAUGAAAAUCCUCACCAAGUCAUGCAUUCCUUGUUGAGAGUUAUUCCUUUGCAUGUUUUUGGAUCAAGGCAAGUAUUGUUUUGUCAGGAAAAAAAAGGGUAAGAAUCUGAUUUUAUUUAUUUAAUCGGUUGUAACAACUGAUUUGCAACAAAAACGCAAGCUUCAGCUCUGACUUUAGCUUUCAUUUUUCCUGACUCACCACACAGAUACUAGCUUUGAACUGGAGCAAACAUUGAUGUUAUUAAAAAUAAUCCAACCUGGUGUCUGUCAUAGGUAGUCAUGCCUGUAUAGCUCACUACCGCAAACAUAAUUACAUAAUGUAAGUUGAAGGGCCCAUGGGUCACUGGAAUGGCUGAACUUGUCUCUUUAGGGUAGAGGCCAGUUGUCAUUAUGUGGGGGAAAUGACAGUCCUGAGUCCAGUUCCUUGAUUUAAAUUACAGCUAGAAUUCCCUAAAACUUUUGUGUGCUAAAACAUUUUGGCAUCCAUGUAAAGAAGAUCAAGAACAACAGGGGCCUGUUCCUUUCCUUGGUGAGUUGCAGGGAGAGGAUUACUGCAGUAAAUCAUCAUUUUUCUACAUUAAGCUAUUUUCUGUACAGAUUGGAGAAGACUCCCAAGAGAGAUGAAACCAAAGAAGACAACCAAAAAAGCUUUCUUCUGCAGAAUUGUGAACCAGAUCCUUCAACAGCAGUUGGAGCUGGUAUUGGCUGUUCUUACAGGAAAAAAGAUUUUGUUACACAGCAU